rnacentral:rRNA from 1 species
UACGUAGGUGGCAAGCGUUGUCCGGAAUUAUUGGGCGUAAAGCGCGCGCAGGCGGCCUCUUAAGUCUGAUGUGAAAGCCCACGGCUCAACCGUGGAGGGUCAUUGGAAACUGGGGGGCUUGAGUGUAGAAGAGGAGAGCGGAAUUCCACGUGUAGCGGUGAAAUGCGUAGAGAUGUGGAGGAACACCAGUGGCGAAGGCGGCUCUCUGGUCUGUAACUGACGCUGAGGCGGGAAAGCGUGGGGAGCGAACAGG